rnacentral:miRNA from 1 species
AACCCGAUGUGGCUGCGAUACU